rnacentral:rRNA from 1 species
UGGGGAAUUUUGGACAAUGGGGGCAACCCUGAUCCAGCCAUCCCGCGUGUGCGAUGAAGGCCUUCGGGUUGUAAAGCACUUUUGGCAGGGAAGAAACAGCCUGGGCUAAUAUCCCGGGCGACUGACGGUACCUGCAGAAUAAGCACCGGCUAACUACGUGCCAGCAGCCGCGGUAAUACGUAGGGUGCAAGCGUUAAUCGGAAUUACUGGGCGUAAAGCGUGCGCAGGCGGUUCGGAAAGAAAGGUGUGAAAUCCCAGGGCUUAACCUUGGAACUGCACUUUUAACUACCGGGCUAGAGUACGUCAGAGGGGGGUAGAAUUCCACGUGUAGCAGUGAAAUGCGUAGAGAUGUGGAGGAAUGCCGAUGGCGAAGGCAGCCCCCUGGGAUGAUACUGACGCUCAUGCACGAAAGCGUGGGGAGCAAACA